AAUUUUAGUACCAAUCUCGAUUUAAUGUUUAAGGCUUUAAGAUAUGUAUUCUUAGGGCAAGGGACGUCGAGAAAAACAUACUUUAAGGCGUUUUCUUUGCGCGUUUGAUUCGGUGAAUUUGUCCGCUUUCUCCUGUUAGUGUUAGCUUAGCAGUAGCAAGACCGCAGGCUGUUUACCGACGAUUUCAGCGUUUCUUGCAAUAAUAUCCAAACCUAGCUUUAAAUUUAAUAAAUACAUUUAAUUUACAUUAUAUUUGACAUCUUGUCUUAAAUCGUCACACUGUCCGCCGUCGCACAGGAUUCAGUGAAGAGUGAAGGAGAGAUGGCGAGCUCGGUGGGGAACGUGGCUGAUAGCACAGAACCAACCAAACGUAUGCUUUCCUUCCAAGGGUUGGCAGAGCUGGCGCACCGUGAAUAUCAGUCUGGAGAUUUUGAGGCGGCGGAGCGUCACUGUAUGCAGCUGUGGAGGCAGGAGCCGGAUAAUACUGGUGUACUGCUGCUGCUGUCCUCCAUCCACUUCCAGUGUCGCAGGCUUGACAGGUCUGCCCACUUUAGCACUCUGGCCAUCAAGCAGAACCCCAUGCUGGCCGAGGCCUACUCUAACCUGGGCAACGUUUACAAGGAACGGGGUCAACUCCAGGAGGCCAUAGAUCACUACCGCCAUGCGCUCCGUCUCAAACCGGACUUCAUCGAUGGAUACAUCAACCUGGCAGCAGCUUUGGUGGCAGCAGGGGACAUGGAGGGAGCCGUUCAAGCAUAUGUGUCCGCUCUCCAGUAUAAUCCUGAUCUGUAUUGUGUGCGCAGUGACUUGGGUAACCUGCUUAAAGCGCUCGGGCGCCUUGAAGAGGCAAAGGCUUGUUACCUGAAAGCAAUUGAAACCCAGCCAAACUUUGCCGUGGCAUGGAGUAACCUGGGCUGCGUGUUCAAUGCCCAGGGGGAGAUCUGGCUGGCCAUACAUCAUUUUGAGAAGGCAGUGACCCUGGACCCUAACUUUUUGGAUGCUUACAUCAACUUGGGCAAUGUUCUGAAAGAGGCUCGUAUCUUUGACAGAGCUGUUGCUGGUUAUCUGCGUGCCCUCAGCCUGAGCCCUAAUCAUGCUGUUGUCCAUGGAAACCUGGCGUGCGUGUACUACGAGCAGGGAUUGAUUGACCUGGCCAUUGAUACUUACCGUCGUGCCAUUGAACUGCAGCCACACUUUCCUGAUGCAUACUGCAAUCUCGCUAAUGCACUGAAAGAGAAAGGCAAUGUUUCUGAAGCUGAAGAUUGUUACAACACUGCGCUGCGUCUGUGCCCGACUCACGCUGACUCCCUUAACAAUCUGGCCAACAUCAAGCGUGAGCAAGGCAACAUUGAGGAAGCUGUGCAGCUCUACAGAAAAGCGCUGGAGGUGUUCCCUGAAUUUGCUGCUGCCCAUUCAAACCUUGCCAGUGUCCUGCAGCAGCAGGGGAAACUUCAGGAAGCUCUCAUGCACUAUAAGGAAGCAAUCAGAAUCAGCCCCACAUUUGCUGAUGCUUACUCUAAUAUGGGCAACACUCUGAAAGAGAUGCAGGAUGUUCAGGGAGCGCUGCAGUGCUACACUCGAGCCAUUCAGAUCAACCCCGCUUUUGCAGAUGCUCACAGUAACUUGGCCUCAAUACACAAGGAUUCUGGGAAUAUUCCUGAAGCGAUUGCAUCGUACCGCACUGCCCUGAAGCUCAAGCCUGACUUCCCUGAUGCUUAUUGUAACCUGGCUCACUGUCUGCAGAUUGUAUGUGACUGGACUGACUAUGAUGAGCGCAUGAAGAAGCUGGUGAGCAUUGUGGCUGAUCAACUUGAGAAGAACCGCUUGCCAUCCGUGCAUCCCCAUCAUAGCAUGCUCUACCCCCUCUCUCACGGUUUCCGCAAGGCAAUUGCAGAGAGGCAUGGCAACUUGUGUCUGGAUAAGAUCAAUGCUCUUCAUAAACCUGCCUAUGAGCAUCCAAAGGACUUGAAGGCCAGUGGAGGCCGUUUGCGUGUGGGUUACAUUAGCUCUGAUUUUGGCAACCAUCCCACGUCCCACCUGAUGCAGUCCAUCCCUGGCAUGCACAACUCUGAGAAGUUCGAGGUGUUUUGCUAUGCUCUCAGCCCAGAUGACAGCACCAACUUCAGAGUUAAAGUCAUGGCGGAGGCUCAUCACUUUAUUGACCUCUCACAGAUCCCCUGUAAUGGAAAGGCAGCAGACCGGAUCCAUCAAGAUGGAGUCCACAUCCUGGUCAACAUGAAUGGUUAUACUAAAGGAGCACGCAAUGAGCUUUUCGCAUUACACCCUGCACCCAUUCAGGCCAUGUGGCUUGGAUACCCAGGCACCAGUGGAGCUCCGUUCAUGGACUACAUUAUCACUGAUAAAGAGACGUCUCCUUUUGAGGUCGCAGAGCAGUACUCUGAGAAAAUGGCCUACAUGCCAAACACUUUCUUCAUUGGAGAUCACGCCAACAUGUUCCCUCACCUCAAGAAAAAAGCAGUGAUCGACUUCAAGUCAAAUGGCCAUAUUUUUGACAAUCGCAUAGUACUGAAUGGCAUUGAUCUGAAAGCCUUCCUGGAAAGCCUGCCAGAUAUCAAAAUUGUGAAGAUGGAAUGUGAUGGUCAAGAGUCCACUGACAGUAACGGUGCCCUCUCUAUGCCUGUCAUCCCUAUGAACACAGCCGCUGAGGCCAUCAUAAACAUGAUCAACCAGGGCCAGAUCCAGGUCACCAUCAAUGGAUUUACGGUCAGCAACGGCCUGGCCACCACUCAGAUUUUUACAGUGGAGGAGGUUAUUGUAUCUGGGACUGUAGCCUUGCAGAUUAACAACAAAGCAGCAACAGGAGAAGAGGUUCCCAGAACAAUCGUGGUGACCACCCGCUCGCAGUAUGGCCUCCCUGAAGACUCUAUUGUCUAUUGCAACUUCAACCAGCUCUACAAGAUUGACCCUCCCACCCUGCAGAUGUGGGCCAAUAUCCUGAAGCGUGUGCCCAACAGUGUGCUUUGGCUGCUGCGCUUCCCAGCUGUGGGUGAGCCCAAUAUCCAACAGUACGCUCAGAACCUGGGCCUGCCUGCUUCCCGCAUCAUCUUCUCCCCCGUGGCUCCCAAAGAGGAGCAUGUGAGACGUGGACAGCUGGCUGAUGUGUGCCUGGACACGCCGCUCUGUAACGGACACACCACAGGCAUGGAUGUGCUGUGGGCUGGUACCCCCAUGGUCACUAUGCCAGGAGAGACACUGGCUUCUCGUGUCGCUGCCUCUCAGCUCACCUGUCUUGGCUGCCCUGAGCUCAUCGCCCAAAGCCGUCAGGAGUACGAAGACGUUGCUGUGAAGCUUGGCACUGAUAUGGAAUUCCUGAAGAAGGUCCGUGCCCGCGUGUGGAAGCAGCGCAUCUGCAGCCCGCUCUUCAACACCAAACAGUACACCAUGGACCUGGAGAGACUCUACCUGCAGAUGUGGGAGCAUUACGCUGCUGGUGGCAAACCUGACCACCUGGUCAAAAUGCAGUCUCUGGAGAGCAGCGAGAGCGCCUAAGUGAAGCUUGUCCCUGCAUGUGCCCUGUCCCCCAAUAUGUGACGUCACAGAGACUCAUGGAGCCUACAGGUGACUAUGAUCCCAGCCAGCUUUUAUUCCCAUGAGCCCGAGUGGACAGCAGGAUGCACAAAGCUGCUCCACUGAGACUCCUCCCUCUUCCCCAUCGUCUGACUAAAUUGAUGUUGAUUGGCUCCACUUUCGUUUUGUUUGUUUCUCUGCUUCUAAAGGACUUUUCUGUAACUGAAGUGGACUUUAUGGGAAAAAAGUGGGGUCUGAAAAGAGAAGGGGCAGUCUUACAAUAAUUCAGAAAAUAUAAACGUAAACAUCACAGAUAGGGGCUUUUUUUAGUUAGGUUUAUGUGCUGCUUGACCUAUUUUAGCUUUGUCAUCAUGACUUAAAUCUGAGGGGCGGAUGCAUACCUCGGAUCACCGAUCUUUUUGCCAACAUUUCCGUAUGCUAUCGAUAGAGAAUUUCCUCUUUAUCAAAACAUGCAAUGUGAACGUGUCUUAUUACACACUGACAGAAGGCCUGCAGACCACUCAAGUAUUGACUCCUGAUUUUUCUUUCUUUUUUGUGAUUUUACCGGGAAAUGUCUAGGAGCUAACACACAGGUUAUUGUGAUCUAUACUGCUGUGACGUUGUGCAGGGUGUCUUGUUGCUGACUAAACUUUGAUGUGCACCCACUGUAAAUUUAAUCGCUGUAUUCACUUCAAUAAAGAAAUGUUAAAUAA